rnacentral:rRNA from 1 species
GACUUGACAUCUCCUGAAUUACUCUUAAUCGAGGAAGUCCCUUCGGGGACAGGAAGACAGGUGGUGCAUGGUUGUCGUCAGCUCGUGUCGUGAGAUGUUGGGUUAAGUCCCGCAACGAGCGCAACCCUUAUUGUUAGUUGCUACUAUUAAGUUAAGCACUCUAACGAGACUGCCGCGGUUAACGUGGAGGAAGGUGGGGAUGACGUCAAAUCAUCAUGCCCCUUAUGUCUAGGGCUACACACGUGCUACAAUGGCUGGUACAACGAGCAGCAAACCCGCGAGGGGGAGCAAAACUUGAAAGCCAGUCCCAGUUCGGAUUGUAGGCUGAAACUCGCCUACAUGAAGUUGGAGUUGCUAGUAAUCGCGAAUCAGCAUGUCGCGGUGAAUACGUUCCCGGGUCUUGUACACACCGCCCGUCACACCAUGAGAGCCGGUACCACCCGAAGCCCGUGAGGUAACCGUAAGGAGCCAGCGGUCGAAGGUGGGAUUGGUGAUUGGGGUGAAGUCGUAACAAGGUAGCCGUAGGAGAACCUGCGGCUGGAUCACCUCCUUUCUAGGGA